UUCUUUCAUUUACCCUGAGACCCGAGAGAAGCACAGACAGGGAGUAAUCUACAGCAGUCCUUAUCCAGUCUUUGCCAGAUCAUUCCUUCACCUACGUGGUCAACUCUCCGCUCUCCAGGAUGCCUACCAGCACUGUCUCACCUUCAGCCUGCCUGCCCAAUCUCUGCUAGACACCAAGCUUCACACUACUUUCUGCCUCCGUUAUCACCUGCUUCUCUCCCUCUCAGCCAAUCCAGCCCAAACACUCAUCAACUGCUUUCCUCUCCCAGGGCCAACCUCAACCCCCACCUAUCCUCAUCUGUCUUCUUUUGCAGUGCAAUAAACUUUAAGUUGUUUUCUACAAACCGCUUUAACUUAAAGAUAUUAAUGGAGACUUGAAUUUGAAUAACAUUUAUACAAAAAAAAUCUGAAAAAAACAUUGCAAAUACAUAAAUUAAUGCAGAAUUUUAUCAUACAGACCUUUUAAAUUCCAAUCUUUGGGCUUAUUUCAGCACAGUCAAAUCACACAUUCAUACAGACAGAUGCACAGCUUCAAACUCUGCCACUAGCCCUCCAGUCUUACACAAUGAAAUCAGCCCGGACAGAUUAUUACUGCAGACCAGCAUGUGUUCCAUUUAUCACAAUCUGUGACACUAGCUAACCGUAAUAUCAAAGUUGACAUAAAUUUAAUUAACUG